CACACCACACACAGAGACUGAGUUGUAGAGAGUUGCAGUCUGGUGAAAUGGUUCUGAGUUGAAGGAACAAAGGGAAGGAUUAUGGAUAUUCACUUACAAGAUAAGUCAACAGUAUAACGCUGCAUGUAGAGAAUAUUAAAUGUCGAUUAUUGUUGGACUGCAUCUAAAAGUGUGGUUGCAUGACCUCAGCCAUCAGCUGUGUACACAGGAGGUCCAAAAGACGCAGGUACUCACACACUGCCACUUAUGAGGGACGUGCCAAUAUUAAUGAGCUAUGUGUUUUGGAUCUGUUUCAAAGGCACCCGCAUUGUUGACAUCGCUGCUACGGAGUGAAAGGCAUGACCCGGGAGAUUGAAUACCAGCAGUACAACACACACCCGAACUGCGAGGCCCUACUCUGCGUUAAGUACAAGUGGCUGUGUCGGAAGACAAUUCGUAGAGCAGGGAGGGAGAAAGCGGGGUGGCGCUUGGAGUGGGAAGUGCUGUUCAUAUCCUCUUUUUCUACAGGAACUACAGUGCGGUGUCGUGAGGGUGCGAAGGUGGCAGAAGAUAUUGUUGUGUCUGUGAAUGUAUCCACCAGGGCCUAGAGGAGAUCAAGCAGGACGUUUCCAUUAUGUUAUAACUACCUUCAUCAUACCAGCGAUAUAAACAGCACAGAGCAUACAGCGAACGGUUUACAGGAUUGGAUCUCGAGGCCCCCAAGGGCCCAGGUGAUAUUGAUAUAUAAUUUUGCCACAUGAAGAGGAGAGACUGAGUAUGCUACCAUGUGACAGAUAGAGGAACCCCCUAAAAAGAGGUGCUGUCAGUUGAAAGAGGCUUUGAAUGGGAGAAAAAAAAGGUUUUCCAAAAGGCUGUGAGGAUAAAAGCACUGGAAGCCUUCCCACCAGCUUUGUAGUACAGGGGGAGAGAAGCACAAUCUACUAUCUCGGACAGUGGACCUCUGUCUCCGUGUUUGAGCUGCCUGCUUCAAGACCCAUCAUUAUUAAGUAACUCUGUCAGUGACUGAGCUUGG